rnacentral:rRNA from 1 species
AGAGUUUGAUCAUGGCUCAGGACGAACGCUGGCGGCGUGCCUAAUACAUGCAAGUCGAACGAAGCUUUCUUUCACCGAAUGCUUGCAUUCACCGAAAGAAGCUUAGUGGCGAACGGGUGAGUAACACGUAGGCAACCUGCCCAAAAGAGGGGGAUAACACUUGGAAACAGGUGCUAAUACCGCAUAACCAUGAACACCGCAUGAUGUUCGUGUAAAAGACGGCUUUUGCUGUCACUUUUGGAUGGGCCUGCGGCGUAUUAACUUGUUGGUGGGGUAACGGCCUACCAAGGUGAUGAUACGUAGCCGAACUGAGAGGUUGAUCGGCCACAUUGGGACUGAGACACGGCCCAAACUCCUACGGGAGGCAGCAGUAGGGAAUCUUCCACAAUGGACGAAAGUCUGAUGGAGCAACGCCGCGUGAAUGAAGAAGGCCUUCGGGUCGUAAAAUUCUGUUGUCAGAGAAGAAUGUGCGUAAGAGUAACUGUUCACGUAUUGACGGUAUCUGACCAGAAAGCCACGGCUAACUACGUGCCAGCAGCCGCGGUAAUACGUAGGUGACAAGCGUUGUCCGGAUUUAUUGGGCGUAAAGGGAACGCAGGCGGUCUUUUAAGUCUGAUGUGAAAGCCUUCGGCUUAACCGAAGUAGUGCAUUGGAAACUGGAAGACUUGAGUGCAGAAGAGGAGAGUGGAACUCCAUGUGUAGCGGUGAAAUGCGUAGAUAUAUGGAAGAACACCAGUGGCGAAAGCGGCUCUCCGGUCUGUAACUGACGCUGAGGUUCGAAAGCGUGGGUAGCAAACAGGAUUAGAUACCCUGGUAGUCCACGCCGUAAACGAUGAGUGCUAAGUGUUGGAGGGUUUCCGCCCUUCAGUGCUGCAGCUAACGCAUUAAGCACUCCGCCUGGGGAGUACGGUCGCAAGACUGAAACUCAAAGGAAUUGACGGGGGCCCGCACAAGCGGUGGAGCAUGUGGUUUAAUUCGAAGCAACGCGAAGAACCUUACCAGGUCUUGACAUCUUCUGACAAUUCCAGAGAUGGAACGUUCCCUUCGGGGACAGAAUGACAGGUGGUGCAUGGUUGUCGUCAGCUCGUGUCGUGAGAUGUUGGGUUAAGUCCCGCAACGAGCGCAACCCUUAUUGUCAGUUGCCAUCAUUAAGUUGGGCACUCUGGCGAGACUGCCGGUGACAAACCGGAGGAAGGUGGGGAUGACGUCAGAUCAUCAUGCCCCUUAUGACCUGGGCUACACACGUGCUACAAUGGACGGUACAACGAGUCGCUAACUCGCGAGGGCAAGCUAAUCUCUUAAAGCCGUUCUCAGUUCGGAUUGCAGGCUGCAACUCGCCUGCAUGAAGUCGGAAUCGCUAGUAAUCGCGAAUCAGCAUGUCGCGGUGAAUACGUUCCCGGGCCUUGUACACACCGCCCGUCACACCAUGAGAGUUUGUAACACCCAAAGUCGGUGGGGUAACCUUUUGGAGCCAGCCGCCUAAGGUGGGACAGAUGAUUGGGGUGAAGUCGUAACAAGGUA